AUGUUUUCCUCAGCUCUGUUACUGCUGCUGACAGCUGGAUCUAGUGUGUUUUGUAUUGAUCUCAUCCAGCCAGACUCGAACGUUGUGCAACCUGGACAGACUUUGAUCAUUACCUGUCCGGUCUCUGGCUGCUCUCUAACUGAUAGCAGCAAUGGAACAGGUUGGAUCAGACAACGGGAAGGAAAGUUGAAGGAUUGGAUUUUUUAUCACUGGGUUGGUGGUAAUUGUUGGCAACAUAACGCUUUAAAUAACAAGUCCAGCCACAACAGAGACACAUCUGCUGGGACACUAACAUUAACAGGACAGGAUCUGCAGCCUAAAGCCACAGCUGUUUAUUACUGUGUGCGUAUUAGUGACUCCACAGACCUGCACAAAAUGUCUGCUUGCAGAAAAAUGUGA